rnacentral:misc_RNA from 1 species
AAGUCGUAACAAGGUUUCCGUAGGUGAACCUGCGGAAGGAUCAUUAAUGAAAACUUCAGGAGUUGCUGCUGGCCUCUCGAGGCACUUUUGUGCACGCUCCGUUUUUCAUCCACCCACACCUGUGCACAUUCAUUUGAGAGGAAAAAGGAGAUUUCUUUUUAUUGAGAGGUUUCCUAUUUUCUCCAAAUUUUUAUACACUCCAUUGAAAUCAUCAGAACGAACUUGUUUUUUGUAAACAAACUUAACAACUUUCAACAACGGAUCUCUUGGCUCUC